CUGGUUUACACCUCAUCUAAGGAAGCUGCGUCAGGCCAAGGAGGAGGCCUACAGGAGUGUGGACCGGGUUUAAGCAUACCUGGCCAAUAAAGCUGAUUCUGAUUCUGAUUCUCUUAAGGCCCUGACACACCAAGCAGACGGCCAAGAACUGGUGGCGACGAAGGCCGCCUGUGUUGUCGGCAGGCGACGCCUCUUGUCUUGGCCAAAAAGUUGCUGCAGUCUUUGUGGUGUGUUCUAGUGCAACUUUUUGGCCAAGACAAAAUGUGAAGCCGACACCACAGGCGGUCUGCUUGGUGUGUCAGGGCCUUUAUAGUUGAUACUAUAAAACUGGAUGUUUUAUCCUUAAUGGUUUACAUUAUAAUGCAUCAAAAGAGGCAUCAAUAUGUAUUUUGGUCAGUUUGAUCAAAAGUUCUCACAGGAGCUUUAAGAAGCUUUAAGAAAGUCCAAAUUAAGCAGGAUUUAAAUUGGUAUUGAAAAAUGAAAAAUAAUGAGUAAGUUAUUGAAAAUAAAGUAUCCUUUCAGUUGUCACAACUUGAGAAAUCAGCCAGCGGGAUCAAAACUGGGAUUUACUUGCUUUUGGAACCAGCUCCAAGUGGCCACUCGAGAAACUGCGAUUUUGGCACUUCAGCUUUACUUACUUUCUGAGCACUUGAAGUUGUUUCUUGGUUAACAUUAGUUUGGCAGAGUUACAGAAGAAGAAUCCCGGAAAGUCCAGGAAAGCAUUUAUAUUAAUGCUAUUAUUCUAAUAAAGCAUGUGGGCACGAAAUACAGAAGUGUUUCAGGUAGACUUUUCUUUGUUGUAUGUGCAGAUCAUGUAUGAAAUGCUAAUACAUGAGUUUUAUUGUUACUAAUUUUCAAGAGCUCAAGUCACUCUUCUCUCCGGUGAUGACUCUCCUGUGUUUGUCGAGCCUACUGAUCUGGUACUUACUGGAAAGUGAUGUGGACCAGCACUUACCCGCCCCUCAGAUGAAAAGAGCCCCCAAGACCUUUAACCUCUGCAAAGAAUGCAAUAAUACGAUCAUAAAAGUAAUGCAGAAUUACUCCCAAGCCUGGAAGAAGCAGGAGGACAGUUUUAAAAAAUUCAGGUAAACCAAAAAGGUCGUCUUGGUUUUGAACUUUAAGGGGAAAAAAUAAAAGAAGGUAAGAAUUGAUAACUCUCUCGUUGGUAAGGUAACUCGUUGGUAAGGUAACUCUCUCGUGGAACCACUGCUAUAUGUAUGCGGGCCAUCUACAGUGUUGAGGACUUAGGAAGCCAUUAGGCCCGUCUUCAUUCACCCUAAGUACUUCCGCAAGCUGGCUGCCUUCUGGCGUGUACAAGGCUUGGGAUCAGCGUGGAUGAGCACCGGGCUAAUUAUAACUAGCAUAGCUUUGGAGGUCUGUGAAAAUGUGCAUCUGUAUGGGUUCUGGCCCUUCGAUAAUCACCCCUAUGGACUCUACGACCUGACGAACCACUACUAUGAUGACAGAAAAGCUAAAAGUGUCCACGCCAUGCCCAAGGAGUUUGGGCUCCUGAUGCAGCUGCACAGACAGGGGGUGCUCAAGCUUCAUCUGGGAGAUUGUCAACGGUUAUGACUAUGAGUCAUAAUUGUAUACAAGUGUUAUUAUGUCGGUCUGCUUUGUGUUCGGUGUUUCGUUUGUGCGUCUGUCUUUCUGCUGUGUUUCAGGUGCCCAGCCCUGAUUGGAGAAACCCGGAUGGUUGCUAAUGUUUUCUGCAAAACAAUUAUGAUCCAAUCUUUUUAUUAACGCUUCAAGUGUUCAUCAGACACAUGUUCACACAAGAAUGCAUUCCUUUGAAUACUUCUAUAAACAUGUGGACUGGAGAGCUGUAGGGUUUUUGUACUAUUCCAACUCUGCUUUUUUUUAUACAACUAGUCUAUGUAUAACUGAUAUGUAACUCAGUUUUUGGUUUGACAUUAUUUUGGUUUGUUUGCAUACUAGUUAGAUAACAAUAUGUGUAAGUAAUCUAGUUAAGGUAAAAUAAAUCUGAGACUUGCUCAAGAAACGGUAAUUUCUCAUGCUUUAAUUUUGUAUUUUAGAACAUGUCAUGCUAAGGUUACCUUGCUUCCUUUUUGGUAAAAAAAAAACCCAGACUUUUAUUUUGAAGCAACUUCUGGUUUUCAAUGUUGUUUAGGUAACUUAAGUUCGAGAAAUGAAUGUGAUGUAUGUAUUAAGAGAUGGUAACCAACAAAAAAGUUACGGUAAAAGGUGAAUGUUAAAGUUUUGCAGCCCUCCACCGGACAAUAAUCUCUUACGGUGGUUUUGAAUUAUGUGUGAGCUUUACAAUAAAGCAGAUAAAAAUCA